AAUAGAUACCCCGGUAGUCCACGCCGUAAACGUUGGGCGCUAGAUGUGGGGACCUUUCCACGGUUUCCGUGUCGUAGCUAACGCAUUAAGCGCCCCGCCUGGGGAGUACGGCCGCAAGGCUAAAACUCAAAGGAAUUGACGGGGGCCCGCACAAGCGGCGGAGCAUGCGGAUUAAUUCGAUGCAACGCGAAGAACCUUACCAAGGCUUGACAUACACGAGAACGGGCCAGAAAUGGUCAACUCUUUGGACACUCGUGAACAGGUGGUGCAUGGUUGUCGUCAGCUCGUGUCGUGAGAUGUUGGGUUAAGUCCCGCAACGAGCGCAACCCUCGUCGCAUGUUGCCAGCACGUUAUGGUGGGGACUCAUGUGAGACUGCCGGGGUCAACUCGGAGGAAGGUGGGGAUGACGUCAAAUCAUCAUGCCCCUUAUGUCUUGGGCUUCACGCAUGCUACAAUGGCCGGUACAAAGGGCUGCGAUGUCGUAAGGCGGAGCGAAUCCCAAAAAGCCGGUCUCAGUUCGGAUUGAGGU
rnacentral:rRNA from 1 species